rnacentral:rRNA from 1 species
UACGAAGGGGGCUAGCGUUGCUCGGAAUCACUGGGCGUAAAGCGCACGUAGGCGGAUUGCUAAGUCAGGGGUGAAAUCCUGGAGCUCAACUCCAGAACUGCCCUUGAUACUGGCGGUCUCGAGUCCGGGAGAGGUGAGUGGAACUGCGAGUGUAGAGGUGAAAUUCGUAGAUAUUCGCAAGAACACCAGUGGCGAAGGCGGCUCACUGGCCCGGUACUGACGCUGAGGUGCGAAAGCGUGGGGAGCAAACAGGA